rnacentral:lncRNA from 1 species
CUUCUAAAACGACCAAGCCACUGUAGUAUCGCAUUCCUUCUCAUUCCCUCCCAUUUAUGUUAGAAGCUCCACCAAAACCCCCAAAUUAGAACCCUAGGUUUGCAAUGUCGGAGAUUUCAACGACAUCAAGUGGGAUGAGUCGGUACUGCGCCUGUGGGACGAAGAUAAUUCGUCGGACUUCGUGGACAGAUUUGAACCCAGUAAGAAGGUUCGAUGCUUGUGAUAAAAUUGGGUAAGUUAUUAUUUGGGUUGCAAAAUUUGUUCUUUUCCAUUUGUAAUUGCUUGAUGAGGUCUGAAAUUGGGUAAGAUUUGAUUUGCCAGAAUAGCAGAAGAGGUGUGCAUUAUUUCGAGUGGGUGGAUAAUGAAACUUGUCCAAGAGGAAAACAAGUGGUCCCUGGUUUGCUUAGAAGACUUAGAGCAAUGGAGGAGGAAGGUAGAGCAAAGGAAGAACAAUUGAGAGCUGUGGAAGCAAAAAAGAAAGAACUGUAGGAGAAAUUGAAAGAAAUAGUUCAGGAAAAAAAGGUUUUGGAAUGGGGUCAUGGGCAAAGACAAUUGAUAAUGUGGGUUUCCUUGAUUUUGUCUUUGGGGUCUGUUUAUAACAUUUCUGAUGAGUGGGAAGUUGUAAUUGUUAUAGGGUUUGUUCCUUUUGAAUGUAAUGGUUUUGAAAUGUGCAUUACUAUUUUGAAAUGUGCAUUAGUGUCCCUUGAAUGUGCAUUAGUGUUCUGAAAUGUUCUUGAA